UACGAAGGGGGCUAGCGUUGCUCGGAAUCACUGGGCGUAAAGCGCACGUAGGCGGAUUGUUAAGUCAGGGGUGAAAUCCUGGAGCUCAACUCCAGAACUGCCUUUGAUACUGGCGAUCUUGAGUCCGGGAGAGGUGAGUGGAACUGCGAGUGUAGAGGUGAAAUUCGUAGAUAUUCGCAAGAACAUCAGUGGCGAAAGCGACUUCCUGGACCAAUACUGACGCUCAUGUGCGAAAGCGUGGGGAGCAAACAGG
rnacentral:rRNA from 1 species